UACCAUGUUACCAUGGGAACUGUGCUCACUGUGGCAGCUUCCCUUCCUAGGCAUGGUACACUACCUCCCAUGUCCCGAAUAGUCCUGCAUAAUGUGUUC
rnacentral:snoRNA from 1 species